ensembl:misc_RNA
CUUGAUGUGAAUUACCAUAAUUCUGACUCAAUGGCACAAAUCAAAGAGAAGACUCGUGUCUUCUUGACACCAUAUAUAUGCUAUGUGCACUCAAAGAAUUGAGAAGCACACAUCAGAAAACCAUUCCUUUGGAAAAAGAGG